rnacentral:rRNA from 1 species
CUCAGGGAGGUAGUGACAAGAAAUAACAACACUGGAAAUUUUAUUUCUAGUGAUUGGAAUGAUGGGAAUUUAAACCCCUUUCAGAGUAACAAUUGGAGGGCAAGUCUGGUGCCAGCAGCCGCGGUAAUUCCAGCUCCAAUAGCGUAUAUUAAAGUUGUUGCAGUUAAAAAGCUCGUAGUUGGAUGUCUGCUGGAAGCAAUCAGUCCGCCCUAUUUGUAGGGUGUGCACUUGAUGAAUUCUGGCAUCUAUGUCCUAAUGUGAUAGAUACGGCGGUGUAUAUGGGUUAAUCCUAUAUACCCGUUUUUGUAUAUUAUAUUGGGAUAAUACCGUUACUUUGAGAAAAUUAGAGUGUUUGAAGCAGGCUAAUUGCCUUGAAUACUGCAGCAUGGAAUAACAAUAUAGGAUUUCGGUUCUAUUUUGUUGGUUUCUAGGACUGAAAUAAUGAUUAAUAGGGACAGUUGGGGGCAUUCGUAUUUAACUGUCAGAGGUGGAAUUCUUAGAUUUGUUAAAGACGAACUACUGCGAAAGCAUUUGCCAAAGAUGUUUUCAUUAAUCAGGAACGAAAGUUAGGGGCUCGAAGACGAUCAGAUACCGUCGUAGUCUUAACCAUAAACUAUGCCGACUAGAGAUAGGAAAAUGUCAUUUUUCUGACUU